rnacentral:rRNA from 1 species
UACGGGGGGGGCAAGCGUUGUUCGGAAUUACUGGGCGUGAAGGGUUCGUAGGUGGCCUACUAAGUCAGACGUGAAAUCCCUCAGCUUAACUGGGGAACUGCGUCUGAUACUGGGGGGCUUGAGUGCAGGAGAGGAACGCGGAAUUCCAGGUGUAGCGGUGAAAUGCGUAGAUAUCUGGAGGAACACCGGUGGCGAAGGCGGCGUUCUGGACUGCAACUGACACUGAUGAACGAAAGCCAGGGGAGCAAACGGG